UGGGGAAUAUUGCACAAUGGAGGGAACUCUGAUGCAGCGACGCCGCGUGAACGAAGAAGGCUUUCGAGUCGUAAAGUUCUUUUAUAUGGGAAGAUAAUGACGGUACCAUAAGAAAAAGCCCCGGCUAACUACGUGCCAGCAGCCGCGGUAAUACGUAGGGGGCUAGCGUUGUCCGGAAUCACUGGGCGUAAAGGGUUCGCAGGCGGAAAUGCAAGUCAGGUGUAAAAGGCAGUAGCUUAACUACUGUAAGCAUUUGAAACUGCAUAUCUUGAGAAGAGUAGAGGUAAGUGGAAUCUUUAGUGUAGCGGUGAAAUGCGUAGAUAUUAAAAAGAAUACCGGUGGCGAAGGCGGCUUACUGGGCUCAUUCUGACGCUGAGGAACGAAAGCGUGGGUAGCAAACAGG
rnacentral:rRNA from 1 species